AGUGAACACAGCCCCGGUGCCAGGCCAGACACCCCACGAUGAGUCCGACCGCCGGACCGAGCCACACUCCUCCGUCUCAGACCUCGUCAACUCCCUCACCAGCGAGAUGCUCAUGCUCUCCCCAGGCUCCGAGGAGGAUGAGGCCCACGAGGGUUGCAGCCGAGAGAACCUGGGCCGGAUCCAGUUCAGCGUCGGCUACAACUUCCAGGAGUCCACGCUCACCGUGAAGAUCAUGAAGGCCCAGGAGCUGCCGGCCAAGGACUUCAGCGGCACCAGCGACCCCUUCGUCAAGAUCUAUCUGCUGCCCGACAAGAAGCACAAGCUGGAGACCAAGGUGAAGCGGAAGAACCUGAACCCCCACUGGAACGAGACCUUCCUCUUUGAAGCUGGGACUCUGGGCAAGUACUUUAAGCCGUCUAAGCCUCAUCUGUAAGAUGGAUGAGAUGCCAUUCACCUUGGAGAAUUGUUGAGGGAAUCCCAUGAGACAGUGACAGUUCUUGCUAGCAUUUCAGUUUUCCCUAUGAGAAGGUGGUGCAGAGGAUCCUCUACCUCCAAGUCCUGGAUUAUGACCGCUUCAGCCGCAACGACCCCAUCGGGGAGGUGUCCAUCCCCCUUAACAAGGUGGACCUGACCCAGAUGCAGACCUUCUGGAAGGAUCUGAAGCCAUGCAGUGAUGGGAGUGGGAGCCGAGGGGAGCUGCUCUUGUCUCUCUGCUACAACCCC
rnacentral:sRNA from 1 species